GUGCGCGCUUCGGCAGCACAUAGACUAAAAUUGGAAGGAUACAGAGGAGAUUUGCAUGGCCCCUGGCAAGGAUGACAGGCGGAUUUGUUCUCACUGUGG
ensembl:snRNA U6 U6 spliceosomal RNA